GAUGAACGCUGGCGGCGUGCCUAACACAUGCAAGUCGAACGUGAUUCGGUAGCAAUAUCGAUGAAAGUGGCGAACGGGUGAGUAACACGUAGAUAACCUGCCUCGAAGCGGGGGAUAACGACUGGAAACGGUCGCUAACACCGCAUGGGACUGAGAUAGCGGGAGCUAUUUUAGUGAAAACUCAGGUGCUUCGAGAGGGGUCUGCGGCCGAUUAGCUAGUUGGUGGGGUAAAGGCCUACCAAGGCGACGAUCGGUAGCUGGUCUGAGAGGACGAUCAGCCACACGGGAACUGAGAAACGGUCCCGACUCCUACGGGGGGCAGCAGUGAGGAAUAUUGGGCAAUGGGCGAAAGCCUGACCCAGCAACGCCGCGUGGAGGAAUGAAGGCCUUCGGGUUGUAAACUCCUUUUACGGGGGAAGAGGAAGGACGGUACCCCGAGAAUAAGUCACGGCUAACUACGUG
rnacentral:rRNA from 1 species